CUCUCUCCCUUCUUUCUUCCUUCCUUUCUUUUUUCUUCUUUCUUUCUGUCUUCCUUCCUUUCUUCCUUCUCACCUUCCCUUCUUCUUUCUUCCUUCCUUUCUUUUUUAUUCUUUCUGUCUUCCUUCCUUCUCUCCUUUCCUUCUUUCCCUCCCUCCCUUACUUCUUCUUCCUUCCUUUUUCUCUUCUUUCUUUCUCUCUUUUACUCCCUUCUUCCAUCCCUUCUUCCUUCCCCUUUCUAUCUUUCCUUCCUUCUUUCUCUCCUUCCCUCCCUCCCUCCUUCUUCCUUCCUAUCUUUUUCUCUUCUUUUUCUGUCUCAUUCUUCCUUCCUUUUUUUCUUCCUUCUUUCUUCUCCCAUCUCAUCCUCAAGCCUACCAUCCAAUAGGCAUGUAUUUGUUUUGGGUGUAGCUCAAUUAAUGAGCAUUUGUUAAGCACUGGCUGUGUGCCAGGCACUAGGUAUGUGCAUGCAUGGGGUUUGAUACACCUGGUUAUCUGUGUGUAGUAUAUGUAGUGCUGUGGGGGUGGCGGGGUGUAAUUUUGUUUUGGGGAGGGGAUGUAGUUCUUUUGAGCUCAAUCUGAGAGAAAGAAAAUUCACAGUGGCCCUUUUGAGAAGAUUCUGCAGACUUCACUCCAGGAGAGAAAUCUCCUUCUAGGAGACAUUUUCCAUGGACAGAUCUAUACAAACACAGCUGCCUCAGUUUCCCUAUUUAAGACUAGGCUGCGAAGGUGUCAGUGUCCAUUACAGAAGGAAGACUCACAGAAUUAUACUUCAGUGUAGUUUAGUUGGUCAGUCACAUCCAACUCUUUCUCGGCAAGGUACUGCAGUGGUUACAGAGGAGGAAACUGGGGCAAACAGGACUAAGUGACUUGCCCAGGGUCACACAGCAGGAAAGUGUCUGAGGCCAGGUUUGAUGCUAGGUUUUCCUGGACCAGCACUCUGCCACUAGCCCACCCAAGUGCCCAUCCUCUGGGGUUGAGGAACUGUUCUUGGCUUCCCGAAGGGUAGGAGGAAGGGAUGAAACUCGAAAAGGGAAAUUGCAUUGCGUUCCUCGCAGUCAGUGAGUGGUGCUUUUGUCUGUAAUGGUCAGCAAGGACAUGCACGUUAUGGUGAUGCGGCUUCAUUCUUCAGGUCUGGUUCUCUGCAGCGCGGCUUCUCCAAGUCUUGGGGCAGAGCCUCGGCUCCAACUCAGCACCAGGGCUUCUGCAUCUGCCCUUCCUUUCUCUUCCUAGUCCCCACAAAAUCAGGCCGCUUUUCCUCCUCUUCAGAUUAGCACCUCACAAGUGUUUAGGGGCCAGAAGAUGGAAGGAAGAAGUGUGAGCAAAAACCAGAAGGUGGAGGAGGCAGAGGCUCGCCCAGUUCUGAAUUGUCUUGUGUCACUGACAGGACCAAACUUGGGGUGAGGACUCAAGCAGACAGAGACAGAGAAACAGAGACACAGAGAGACAGUCACAGGAGAGAAACAGAGAGACAGUCACAGGAGAGAAAUAGAGACACAAAGUCAUAGGAGAAAAACAGAGACAGAGACAAACAGAGAGACAAAGGCAGAGCCAGAGAGAGAACAUUUGUGCCAGGCAGCACUAUUUGCAGUAUAUAAUCAAAAGUCAACAGUGUCUCCAAAUGCACUUGCUUUUAUAUGAUUAAAGCAGCUUGACAUGGAGCCCCAGAUCUUCGGCCUCAGCAAUAAUACACGCUUCCACAUAAAGGAAGCCAGCCCUCUCUCUGAAAGGGAAGUAGGUGGGCACAGUGGAGGUUCCAGAUGCCAGCCCCUCCCCCUCGCAUCUCCUCUGUACCUUCUGUGUACCUAUUUAUGCCAUGCUGUCUCUCUUGUUAGAAUGGAAGCUCCUUGAAGGCAGCGACUGUGCUGUUGCCCGUUUUUCUCGUCUCCAUCUCUUUGCUCCCAGUCAUGCCCUUCAUAAAUGCUUAUCGAUUGGUUGGUUUGAUUGGAGGUCCAGAAGUGGCUCCUCUGCACUAAAACUCUCUGCCCAGUGCCUACUGGUGUGGUUCCUAAAAUGCUCCUCACCUAUUAUUUCCCUUAUUAAAGCCCUGUCUCUAGAAAGCUCCUUGAUACGAAUCCAGUAUUUAUAGGACUAUAUAUAGCUUUAAAGAUGCAGAGGAUUAUCUAGGCCAUUGCUUUCAUUUUACAAGUGAAGUAACUGAGGUUGUGAAAGUUUAAGGUACUUGGCCGGGGUCAUCCAGGAUAUCAGUGGCAAAGCUGGGACUAGAGUCCAGAUUCUAGCUUCUAAUUCUGUACUUGUAGAGGCACAAAUAAGCCCCAAGUCUCUGGUUGGAAACUUUGAGGUCCAGUUUAGUCUCCUUAUUGUAUAGAUAAGAAACUACAAACCCAGAAAGAUGGAUGCUGUGACUGAUCCAAGGGCAUGCAUAUUAGCACAACAAUAAUUAGACUAAAAACGAUUGCUAGCACUAAUAUAAGGUCACAAAUAUCAGAAGAACAAUAGUUAGACUAAAAAUGAUUUAAUUAGACUAAGAAUGAUCACUAGUAUUUAUAUAAGAUCACACAUUUCAGAAUGACAACCAUUAGACUAAGAAUGAUCACUAGUAUUUAUAUAAGAUCACACAUUUCAGAAUGACAACCAUUAGACUAAGAAUGAUCACUAAUAUUUAUAUAAGAUCACACAUUUCAGAAUGACAACCAUUAGACUAAGAAUGAUCACUAGUAUUUAUAUAAGGUCAUACAUUAUCAAAAUGACAAUAGUUAGACUAAAUGAUUUAAUUAGACUAAGAAUGGCCACUAGUAUUUAUAUAAGAUCACACAUUUCAGAAUGACAACCAUUAGACUAAGAAUGAUCACUAGUAUUUAUAUAAGAUCACACAUUUCAGAAUGACAACCAUUAGAUUAAGAAUGAUCACUAGUAUUUAUAUAAGGUCAUACAUAUCAGAAUGACAAUAGUUAGACUAAAUGAUUUAAUUAGACUAAGAAUGGCCACUAAUAUUUAUAUAAGAUCACACAUUUCAGAAUGACAACCAUUAGACGAAGAAUGAUCACUAGUAUUUAUAUAAGGUCAUACAUAUCAGAACAACAAUAGUUAGACUAAGUGAUUUAAUUAGACUAGGAAUGGUCACUAGUAUUUAUAUAAGGUUACACAUAUCAGAACCACAAUAAUUAGACUGAGAAUGAUCGCUAGCACUUAUAUAGUAUUUCAAGCUGAAUGUAUAGAUUUAGGAAUCACCUGCAUAGACUUAAUUGAACCCAUGAGAAUUGAUGAGACUAUCAGGACAUAAGGGACAAAGAGAAAAGAAGAAGUUUCGUCUCCUCUAAACUUCCUAAGGGAAAACAAGAAGGAUUGACCUUGAUGGAGAGAAGAGCCAAAACCAUAUGCUGGCUAAGGAGUAGACACUGAAUGAUGAACCAGCAAAGGAUGCAGAGGAGUGUUCAGACAGGGUAGAUGGACCCAGAAAGUGUCAUCUUUAGAGCCUAAUACCAUGUCUAAGAGGAGAGAUUUGUCAACAGGGGAUAGAGAAAGA